rnacentral:rRNA from 3 species
UAACGACUCUCGGCAACGGAUAUCUCGGCUCUCGCAUCGAUGAAGAACGUAGCGAAAUGCGAUACAUGGUGUGAAUUGCAGGAUCCCGUGAACCAUCGAGUUUUUGAACGCAAGUUGCGCCCGAAGCCGUCAGGCCGAGGGCACGUCUGCCUGGGCGUCACGC